UCUUUAACUUGAGAGUUUGAUCCUGGCUCAGAACGAACGCUGGCGGCAGGCUUAACACAUGCAAGUCG
rnacentral:rRNA from 1 species